rnacentral:ncRNA from 2 species
UACGGAGGGUGCAAGCGUUAUCCGGAUUUAUUGGGUUUAAAGGGUCCGUAGGCGGACCGAUAAGUCAGUGGUGAAAUCUCAUAGCUUAACUAUGAAACUGCCAUUGAUACUGUCGGUCUUGAGUAAAUUUGAAGUGGCUGGAAUAAGUAGUGUAGCGGUGAAAUGCAUAGAUAUUACUUAGAACACCAAUUGCGAAGGCAGGUCACUAAGAUUUAACUGACGCUGAGGGACGAAAGCGUGGGUAGCGAACAGG